UACGGGGGGGGGCAAGCGUUGUUCGGAAUUACUGGGCGUAAAGGGCUCGUAGGCGGCCAACUAAGUCCGACGUGAAAUCCCCAGGCUUAACCUGGGAACUGCGUCGGAUGCUGGAUGGCUUGAAUUCGGGAGAGGGAUGCAGAAUUCCAGGUGUAGCGGUGAAAUGCGUAGAUAUCUGGAGGAAUACCGGUGGCGAAGGCGGCAUCCUGGACCGACAUUGACGCUGAUGAGCGAAAGCCAGGGGAGCAAACGGG
rnacentral:rRNA from 1 species